rnacentral:rRNA from 1 species
CACGUAGGGGGCAAGCGUUGUCCGGAAUCAUUGGGCGUAAAGCGCGUGUAGGCGGCUUCGUAAGUCCGUUGUGAAAGUCCAGGGCUCAACCCUGGAAUGCCGAUGGAUACUGCGGAGCUAGAGUCCGGAAGAGGCGAGUGGAAUUCCUGGUGUAGCGGUGAAAUGCGCAGAUAUCAGGAGGAACACCAAUGGCGAAGGCAGCUCGCUGGGACGGUACUGACGCUGAGACGCGAAAGCGUGGGGAGCAAACAGG